GAUGAAGAACGCAGUGAAAUGCGAUACGUAAUGUGAAUUGCAGAAUUCAGUGAAUCAUCGAAUCUUUGAACGCAUAUUGCGCCCUCUGGUAUUCCGGAGAGCAUGCUUGUUUGAGUAUCAGUAAACACCUCAACUUCCAUAUCUUUUUUGAAAUGGGAGUUGGACUUGAGUGAUCCCAACGCUUUUCCUCACCGAAAAGUGGCGGGUUACUUGAAAUGCAGGUGCAGCUGGACUUUUCUCUGAGCUAUAAGCAUAUCUAUUUAGUCUGCCUAAAAAACAGAUUAUUACCUUUGCUGCAGCUAACAUAAAGGAGAUUAGUUCUUGUGCUGACUGAUGCAGGAUUCACAAAGACAGGCUUCGGCCGACUUUGUAAACUCGAUCUCAAAUCAAGUAAGACUACCCGCUGAACUUAAGCAUAUCAAUAAGCGGAGGA
rnacentral:misc_RNA from 1 species